rnacentral:rRNA from 1 species
AUUGAACGCUGGCGGCGUGCUUAACACAUGCAAGUCGAUCGGUAACGCGGGGGCAACCCUGGCGACGAGAGGCGGACGGGUGAGGAACGCUUGGGAAUCUGCCUAUCAGCGGGGGACAACCCGGGGAAACUCGGGCUAACACCCCAUACGCUCUACGGAGGAAAGCCGGGGACCGCAAGGCCUGGCACUGAUAGAUGAGCCCAAGUCGGAUUAGCUAGUUGGCGGGGUAACGGCCCACCAAGGCGACGAUCCGUAGCUGGUCUGAGAGGACGAUCAGCCACACUGGGACUGAGACACGGCCCAGACUCCUACGGGAGGCAGCAGUGGGGAAUAUUGGACAAUGGGGGAAACCCUGAUCCAGCGACGCCGCGUGGGUGAAGAAGGCCUGCGGGUUGUAAAGCCCUUUCGGUAGGGACGAAAGCUCUCGACCUAACACGUCGGGAGGUUGACUUAACCUACAAAAGAAGCACCGGCUAACUCUGUGCCAGCCGCCGCAGUAAAAC